rnacentral:lncRNA from 1 species
CCGAUGACCCUCUUCUUUCCCUCUCCCAAAUCCUACCACCCACGACCCUCAAACCCAACUAACUACAAAGCAAAACCAAAUCUAGGACCUUACUUGGUCUCAGAAUCACAAAGCCCCCCCUCUGAACCCUUUGUCCCUCUUCAAUACUCUAGGCAAAAGGCGUUAGAAAUCAAAGACCUUUAAACAAGGGGUCGGAGAAUCGUUGGAAUUGGAUAAGUGUCAAAUUAGGGUUGCAUGCACAAAAAAGCUAAGUGUCAUGUCUUCAAUGCUUAUAUUCUCUAUAUGUUUCUUGUUUAAUUGCUGUUUUAUUUAAAAUUGUACUUGUUUUGUAUGAUCUCAUUUUGAAGUAUGUUAAGUAGUCAUCUUUGCUUGCUCUAUUUUGUGGUUCCUUGGGUGUCACUGGUUUGAAUUCAUCUUAUAUAAUUCUCUGAAUGGUCUGAUAUCAUGGUCAUCCUUGCCUCUUGACUCUUCAGUUAUUUCACCUCUGAAAUUUUGAGUGGUGUGUUGAUCUUUGUCUCUUGACUUUUUACUUGUUUCACCUCUGAAAUUGAGAUUCUGAAUGGUUUUGUUAAAUGCUUAUCUUUUGGAUCCUAUUGGUAUUACAUCAUGAUUCUAAGUAGUUGUCUUCUUUUUAAGAGUUUCAUACCCGUCAUAGUUUCUUCUAGUAAUUUUGAUCUUCAGUAUUUGCACAUGCUAGGCUAAUUUGUUUUUCUGCAUUUUAAUUACUGAUAUUAACCUUUAAUCUCUUGGUUUUUAUUCAUGUAUAUCCUGAGUAUUUAAUCUCUAAUUUUUUACUAAGUGUUGUAGUUUGGCCAUUGUUCCUGCAUAGUCGAUUGGGUUUCAUUUUCUGAUUGUUUUGGUUCAUCUUGACAUAUUCAUGAAUAUUCAUAUAAUCCUGAAGUUGUGAUAAUUGUUUGCUUGAAUCCGUGAGGUGAAUUGUUUAAUUCUUAAACUCUUUAAAUGUCCCAUUAUACAUAGUUGAGUUUGGAUUUAGAUUUUGACCCAUAACUUGAAUGCAAUCAACUAGGGUCAGAUUUGACUAAAUAAUUGAAACCAAGGUUAAAAAUCUUAGGUUAGUAACUAGGAAAAGGGACAGGGGUCUAGAGGGUAUUUGAGUACAAGGAAUCUGGUAACCACUCCUAAAACAUUCUAGUGAGAGGUUUAGGCAUAAUUUCUGCCUCAAACUUGAGACACAAGUCAGAAAACAUGUAGUUUAGUUUCAGAUUUUGACCUAUAACCUGAAGGCAAUCAACUAGGGUCAGAUUUGACCAAAUAAUUGAAAACCAAGGUUAAAAAUCUUAUGUUAGUCAUUAGGAAAAGGGACAGGGGUAUAAAGGGUAUUUGAAUCUGAUGAAUCCUGUAACAACUCCUAGAACAUUUUAGUGAGGGGUUUAAGCAUAAUUUCUGCCUCAAAACUUGAGGCACAAAUCCGAAAACUAAGGAAUAUUUAGGUAAAAUUGAAAUUUAAGUAAGGGACUAAAAGGAAAACAAAGGAAUUGGUGUUGCCCUAAGGCUUCAAUUAUAAAAAGAAGGCAAUCUGAACAUUUAAAGGGGCUGGAACUUUGGAGAUUUUCGAGUAGAUUUUUCUUUUGAAGCUUUUGGUGAAUUAAGAUAUAUAUAUAAAUAUAUAUUAGGCUCUCCUACAAUCUUCAUAAAUCCUUGGGUGUUGUUCUAUUUUGACUGAAUUUUCCUUGAUAACAAGUUGAGCAUAUUAAGCUGCUUUGAUGAUCAACUAGUAUUUUUGCUUUUCUCAAAACUUUCCUGAAUCUCUGGGUGAUUACUGCUUGACUGGAUGUUGCUUGCUUGCUAUUUGCUUCAUUUGCUCAUAGGUUUCCUUUCCUGUGAUACUCCAGGUACCAAUUCUCACUCAAAGCUCUGAGAAGUUGUAAGAUUGUGGCUGAUAAUAAGGAAAUAAUAUUUCGUUCCAAUUUCCUAUUAUAAUUGUAUUUUUUUUAAUUUUGGUGUUGUAAUGAACAUAAACAUGUUUUAUGGACUGUAUCAGGACCGUGCUUUUAAUUUGCUUAAGUUUAGUAGAUUUGCUAUAGUUUGAUCCAAGUUAGCUAAGUAUUUGCAAAUUGAGGUAUAUAUUAGGAAUUUUCCCACUGAAUACGUGUGUACUCUGAAUGAUGAGUACUUCAAUUAAUUUCUUUAGAUAUCAAGAUGGAAAUUUGAUUUGUAACUUAUUAAUGAGAAAAUCAUUGGCAUCAUUUCUUACUUAAAUACCUGCAAUAUAUUUUGUAAUAAACAGAUGUAUAGUUUAGAUGAUUGUGAUUACAACUGAAUGAAGGCUGCUGUGGUUUGCUUAUGAUGGACUCGUUAGUCCAGUGUUUAUGAUCCAACUGAAAAGCCCAGUCGAUGCCAAUUGUAGUGUAAACACUACAUAUCCCUAGGCUAACCAAAAUGAAGCUCAAGAUAUAAUCAGCCACGAAUGAGGUUAAAAAUGCAAAUGUCGAAUUCCUCCAAGUAUGUUAUUCGUGUAUAAAUUACUAGAACGCCUCUAGAUACAAGAAUAAUAGAACAUUCAGUGUACUUUAGGUUGACUUUAUAAAAUAAAGUGAGGCGCGCUAAUUUAAUCAAACACCACACGAGGCUCCCUUAACUUAUUAAAAUACAUAGAAAAAUAUGAAGUGCCAUUUAGCGAAUUUCACGGCCUUCCACUAAUUUUUAAAGACGUAAUUGCUAUAGGCGCGAAUUUAUUAAUAAAUACCUUCCUAAACUCGGGUGCGCAUUUAUGUGACUCAAAUCCAAAUUUAUGUGGAGUCAAAAUAUGUAUAAAAUUGCGUGCGCAUUUAUGUGACGUGAUUUGCGACGUGUUUUGACGACAUUGCAAAUUUCCUAAACAUAUAUAUUAAAAGCGGUUAAUAAUUUAAAAUUGCAUUAUAGGUUUGAACACGUAUAACAAAUCAGAAUUUUAGCCACUUAUAAUAAGUUUAAGUGACCAUGCUAAAACCACGGGAUUCGAGGGUGACUAACACCUUCCCUCGGGUCAACAAAAUUCCUUACCCAAGAAUUUCUGGUUCGCAGACUCCAAUAGGGCAGUCGAAAAUUUUUCCUCGAUUUGGGAUUCAAAAUAAACACGUGACUUGGGACACCAAAGGCCAAACCUAUCCCAAGUAGAGACUGUUGAAUAAAUAAUGAAUCCCAUUUCGAAUAAUGUCACUUUAAUUGGAAAAACUCCAUUAUACGUUUUAUCCUUCGGGGUAUCCGUGUAAGUAAAAAGUAGGUGUGAUAACUCUGGCGACUCUGUUGGGGAGAUGGAACCCAGAAUCUCUGGUUCAGGGUUCAAGAAUUCGAGCUUGCAAUAACGGUUAUAUUUGGCUUCUUCUGAUUUGAUUACAUGUUCUGUGCUAAAUGCCACAUGUUUUACCGCUUUGAUAUUAUCUGAACUGUACAUAUGAACUGCUAUGAAACCCUUCACUUCUCACCUACGGGGGAUUGAUUACUGGUUGAGACUCCCUAUUCUGGUAGCGUCUUACCCUAAUAUAAGAAAGAGGCCGGACAAGUUGAAACCCUUCACUUCUCACCUACGGGGAUGUGCUUGCUGGUUGAGACUCCCUAUUCUGUUAGUGUCUUACCCUGAAAUAAGAAAGAGGCUCGGACAAGUUAUAAAGCCGGACGAUCUUGCGGGUCCCCGGUAUGUAGCCCCUUCCUCGACUCGAGUUGUCCGCUCGGGGGUACAAUCUAGACCCUGUACCGAGGUUCUCAACUUAAUAUAACAAAACCUCAUGUCGGAUCCCUAGUAGGAACAUUUAUUUUCAUCAUGCAUUUGACUUAGGAGACUCAACACAGGGGUUGGGUCCGUGUUGGACAGGUGCCCUGAAAUAAAAGACUAUCCUGAUGCAUUUUUACGUGCUACCUGCACAUUUAUUUGCCUUCGAUUCGCAUGUUGACCGGCCUGUAAACAGAAAGAUUAAAUUGAGAAAAAUAGCAGUGCUAGGGUGAUCACUUGUAAAACCAAUGCUUAAAAUAACGCCGAAAUGCUGCCGGAUUUUCCAAAAAAAAAAACAACAAAAAAAGAAAAUUUGGGAGUUUUUUUUCAAUAAUAUUUGCGGGUUUUGAUAAUUUGUUUUUCCAAAUCUAACCCCUUUUAAAAAGUACCAAAACAAAGGCCCGAGUUUAUUCACUUGUUUUGAAAUAAAUCAGGUGAUGCCUUUAUUGCCGGUAAUAGCCAAAUGUUGCCACAAAAGACACCGGAGAGCUAAUUUUGCAUUUGAACGGCCACUUUUGGGUCUUUAUUGUAUUUAUGUCCGGUUAGCGGGCACAGCCUUGGAAGCUUCCUCCGGAUAUGCUAAAAGGCCGUGUUCGCAAAAUCAGGCUUAUGGUUUUAGAAAAUAAAUUUCAAAGAGAAAAUUCUUUUUAAAAGUCAAACGGCAAUAAAUUUACAUGCCAUUAAUUCGCCUUAAUAAAUGUGCAGGAUGAGCACAAUCCAAACUGGACCUCUUGCAUUUGUGGGCCAAAUCCCUUUGGAGUUGCUGUUGUGGUGGGAUGAUUUGGGCAGGGAAGGACAAGAUGAGAUAAAGAAGUAUUUGGGGUCCUCACGGGAUUAUUAUAGAUUGUGCCCCGAGGAGACAUCAUAAGAGCAUUGUUUACAUGCUGGGACCCAACACACAAUGUGUUUUACUUCUCAGACUUUGAGCUCACUCCAACUUUGGAAGAAAUAGCGGGAUAUAUUGGAAAUGGCGUGCUUCCUUUGAGACAUAGGUAUCUGGUUGCCCCAAGAGUGAUAACAGUGCAUAAGUUCAUAGAUACCUUAAAGAUAAGGAGGGUAGUACAUGAUGCGAACUUGGCGGCAUGGUUCUGCACUUUUUCAUUACCGUAUUUUAGAUAUAGUCACAUAGGGGAAUUCAACAAUCUAGAGAACAAAGUCUGCAGUAAGGGAAACUGUGUCAAAUGGGAAGAACACAGACGCUUUGCUUUUAUGGUGGCUAUUCUAGGUCUUCUGAUAUUUCCAAGAAAGGAUGGGAACAUUGACAUAAAUAUAGCGUGGGUUGCCAGCACUUUACGUACGCAUGCCGAGUGCACUCUCGCGCCCAUGAUAUUAGCCGAGAUCUUUCGCGCUCUCACAGCUUGCAAAGCCGGAAACGAUUUCUUUGAAGGGUGUAGUCUAUUAUUACAAAUGUGGAUGACGGAGCACCUAUGCCACUGCCCUCGAUUCAUGAGUUAUGGGUCCACUGAGAAAACUUGCAUAGAGGGGUUUUACACGAGAAUUGAAAGGCUCAACUUACCCGAAAGUGCAUCAAAAUGGACUUCUUACCUCCACUCCCUCACCGCCAGUCAAGUAGAAUGGACAUUGGGAUGGUUGUAUGUUGAUGAGAUCGUAUACAUGCCGGCAACAGAACCACAUUUUCUCUUGAUGGGCCUUAGGAGCAUCCAGCCUUACGCCCGCAUCGGGUAUUGAGACAACUCAGAAGAUGCCAGAUAGUGCCAAAAGACGAAGAUCUCAGCAUCCGAGUAGUCGAGAUUGGGCCUGAGGGUCAGUUCCCCAAAGCAAUGGUUCGCAAGAUUUGGAAUGAAUGCCAAUACCUAACAGCUGAGACUUGCGUACAGGAUCCUGCCAGAGGUGAAGUGUCGCCUGGAUACCUCGCCUGGUACAGAAGAGAAAUUGAGUUUGAGAGACCACCCAAAAGGCCUAACCUCUAAGAGUUCAUUGGAACAUUACAAGAGCAGUGGGAUUGGUUAGCCAAAGAAAAUGAGUACCAGGCUACUAUAGGAAAGCUUGAAAAGAAAAUUCAAGAAUUGCAAUUCGAGAACAGUUUGCAAGCUGCAGCCAGCUAGGGAGAAAAGAAGGUGUUAAUAAAAGAAAACGAAGCCCUACAAGCCCAGAUCCAGAAAAUGAAGGCAGCCGCAGAAAAUCCUCCUAGGAGGACAAAAGAUGAAAAGCUCAUAGAAAACAUGCGACGAAAAGUAACUGAAUACGGGUUUGACCUGAAUAAGGCAUAGGGUGAACUGUCUAGCGCUCGGAAGCAAUUAAUUAAAAGUGCAAAGGAAAGGGACCACAUACUGGAGCAAUUAAAAGAAGGAAGUGGCAAUGAGAUUGUCGGUUUGAAACAGAGGGCUGUCAUAGCUGAAAACAAAAUGGCCAAACAAGCCAGGGAUUUCAAAGCUGAAAGAGAACCUUGCUAUGCGGUAAUAGUAGGAUUGGAAAGGGAUUUGCGGCAAUUCCAAAAGCUGAAUCAAGUAGCCGAACAGACUUUAGAAGAAAGGGCCAAACAAAUUGGGCGUCUAUUACAAGAAAAAGGGGUUAUCAGGGAAAGGGUGCGGGCAAUCGCAGAAUAUAUUACCACAAAGUGCAACCACUAUGAAGACAUUACAAUAUCUAUGUUUUUUGCUGCUGCCAUGAUAUUUGUUCGUCAAGUGAUGGAAGAUCUCCACUACCUCCAGGCAAGUUUAGCAUGCAAACAUGCGGCAACGCCGGGCGAUGCCCCGCAAGCUCCAAAAACAUUUGAAGUUUAAAUGUACUCAUAAAUUUGUAUUUUUCUUAAAAGAGCCGGUAUGUAUGUUCUUUUACACCUUUCAAGUCUGUAAGAUUGUUAAAGUCUUAGUUUGGUACUUGCCUUUUAUUUGGUUAGCCUUUGUAAUCAAAGUUUAUGUCUUUAUAAAAAUUGAAAAUCCCAAAAAAUAUUCUGUUGUGUACAUAACAUUUUCCCAUGAACUACGCUCGGUCUGAUUCAUGCAAAGUCAUGAUACGUAGGCAAUUUCUAUAGGCUUCGUGCGUAUUCUAAAAAACGGGGAAAGCUAACAAGGAAUAAGAAGUAGGAAACAAAAGGAAAUCCGGAAAUAAAUGCUGGGAUGACACAUGCGGGAAUGGAAAUCAUAUAAAACCCGUUAACUGCAUAGGUGCAUCAUAUCCAAUGUGCGAUUUCUUUUUUCUUAUUUGACUCAACCUAACUGCUUGAAUUCCAGUGUCCAGUCCAGGUGUUUUAAGAAUAGUGAUUAGUUUGCGGUAAGCUGGCUUCACACGGAUACAUUACAAGAUCAAAAGGAAGCACAGAGAUGUCGAUCGAAAUGACUCUACUAGCAGUCCUUAUCCCAAAGGACAACCCAAUUACAGGAAUCCCAGCCUCCUAAUCAUCAGCAGCUGAAGAGAACAUGAUCCUUCGGCUCCGAGUUAUGGAGAUGUGGGAUGCCUGGACAAAUGGGAAAGAACCUCCAAGUGCUAUCCCUAGAUUUCCCGAGCUUUUUCUGAGGUCAUGGGGUACCUCCACCAUCUCUAUCAGUCACCCAAAUAUCCUAGUGGGGAAGCCCACCAUAUCAACCAACUUUGUCGGAGCGCCUUCUGAAACCCGCCCUCUGAUGUUUACAUAUGGCCUAGUUCCCAACAUUUUUACGGCCCCUCCGUGCGCAGCCACCACACAGGCUGCGGUACCAAGGCCCAUGUUUGACCCCACAACUUUUACAUUCCAAACUCCCAACUACCAGACCGAGCCUCCCACAUACCCCACAUAUAAUUACCCUCAGCCAGCAUACGAACUCACCCCUGUGCAAGACAAAACCCCUAAAAUAUCUGAACAAGAUGAAAUAACAAGUAGAAUGAAGAGUCUUGAACAAAUCCUGAAAAACAUGCAAGGAUUAAGUGGGCAGAAGAGUGUAUCUUACUCAGACCUAUGCAUGUUCCCACACGUAUAUCUUUUUUUAGGGCUCAAAACGCUGAAGUUUGAAAAAUAUGAUGGCCACGACGAACCCAUCGCUCAUUUGAAAAAGUAUUGCAACCAACUGUGUGGAGCCUGGGGGAAGGAAGAACUCUUGAUGGCGUAUUUUGGGGAGAGCUUAGUGGGCAUUGCUUCUGAAUGGUACAUAGACCAGGAUAUUAGCCAAUGGCAUAUCUGGGAUGACCUCGCCCAAGACUUUGUAAGGAAGUUCCAGUAUAACAUUGAUAUAGUCCCGGACGGGAACUCCUUAGCCAACUUGAAAAAGAAAGCUUCAGAGAAUAUGUUGUUAAGUGGCGCGAGCAAGCGUCGAGAGUAAUACCACCCAUGGACGAGACGGAGAUAGUCACCGUCUUCCUACAAGUGCAAGAGGCAAAUUAUUUUUAGAACAUGAUGUCAGCAAUGGGCAAACCCUUUGCAGAAGCAAUUAAGAUUGGUGAGAUGGUAGAGAAUGGCCUCAAGACAGGGAACAAAAGCAACCUCCCAGGCCAUACAAGGCGGGGCGGGAGGAAUCCUAAGAAUCAAGAAGGAGGAGGAAGUGCCCAUGGCAGCCUCCGGGAUGAGAAAACAUCAUGCUCACAAACCUGCAUUCUCAGAAAGGGCAUCUCAACAUUACUAUCCCCACCAAGACAUGCACUAUGUUCCUCAAACCAAUGCAGUCAUGAAUGCCCAACCCUUUGCCCGACCACAACAGCAGAACAAUAGAAACCAAGUCCCAAGAAAUCAACCUCCUCAGAAUCACUACAAUCCCCGCCCUCCACAAAAUAAUUACCGUCCCAGGGAACUACCCAGGAGACAGAACUUCACUCCAAUAGGGGAAUCUUAUGCCAGCCUAUUCCCAAAGCUGGUCCAUAUGGGUCUCCUGCAGCCCAUGCCCCCCAACAGACCAAACCCUCAGUCACCUUCCUAUCAAAGGGGCGUACAUUGUGUUUACCACUCCGGGGCAGAAGGACAUGACACCGAAAAUUGCUGGACUCUAAAACGAGUGGUGGAGGAGUUGAUAUACCAAAAGAAGAUAGUACUGAGAGAUGAAGAGGUCCCAAAUGUAACCAACAACCUAUUGCCGACUCACAACAAUGGGCCGGUCAUCAGAAUGAUCUGUGAGGAUAAAUAAUUUGAUCCUGCCUUGAAAUCAAUAGUAGCCAUCGCUGAAGCAGACAUAAAACCAAAAGAUACCCCCAAGAAUAUUAAAUAAAAGAAAAUGAAUGAAGCCAAGUGCCAGAAGCGGAGAAGAAAUCUGAAAUCAAAACUGAGACGACCCAUACCAAGGAAACAAUUUUCUACAUCCCACGAGGGCGUCAAGAAAAGCAGCCCACUUUGAGUCCCCCAAGAAGGUUCGAGCUGAACAAAACCAUCCAUGUACCCUGAAAGCCUAUGUGGUACGGGGAUCGAUUAAACCAAUGGUGUUGAAUGAGCCCGUGGUAAUCGGUCGCGCACCUCUCAAAACCAUGUAUGUACCCAAGAAAGCCUAUGUGGUACGGGGGUCGAUUAAACCAUCGGUGCUGAUUGAGCCCGUGGUAAUCGGCCGCGCACCGCAGAAGCACAUGACAAACCCUUCGGCAGUCCCUUAGAAUUACCAAGAAACCAUAGUUACAUACAAGGGCAAAGAAAUCAUCGGGGAAACUCAAAAAGUCUAUCCCACAAAGAAAUACUCUGAUAUGAAAGAGGUGAACGCUGCUACCAAAUGGCUAUUUCCAUCUAAGAAGCUAGUGAAUGCUGAAGAGGCAGAAGCCUUCUUUCAAAAAUGAAAUGCCAGAGUACGAAGUGGUGGACGAGCUGCGGAAGUGUCCAGAGCAGAUCUCUUUAUUGUCACUCUUGAUGAAAUCCCCCGAGCACCAGUAGGUGUUGGCCAAAACAAUGAACGAAGCUUACGUACCAGCUGGGACUUUCAUGGAGCAACUAGAGAAAAUGGCGGAGAGAUUCUUUGCCAUUAACCGGGUCACGUUCAGCAAGAAUGACUUACCUCCAAAGGGAGCCGCCCACAACAAAACCUUGCACCUCACUUUCAAAUGUGAGGGCUAUUACAUCAAGAGAGUGAUGAUAGACGGAGGCUCUAGAGUAGAUAUAUGGCCACUGUAUACAUUGUAGAGAAUGAAGAUUGGGACAGAGAGGAUUUGCCCUAACAACGUGUGUGUCCGAGCCUUUGAUGGAAUCAAGAGAGACACCAUAGGGGAAAUUGACNNNNNNNNNNNNNNNNNNNNNNNNNNNNNNNNNNNNNNNNNNNNNNNNNNNNNNNNNNNCAUGAGGGCCAUGACCACCAUUUUCCUUAGUGCUGACCAUUGGUCCGGUCGACUUUGAAGUGACUUUCCAAGUAUUGUACAUGGACACAUCCUAUAACUACCUCUUAGGAAGGCCGUGGAUUCAUGCAGAAGGAGCGGUACCUUCUACCCUGCACCAAAAGCUGAAGUUCGAACAUGAAAACCAAGAGAUUGUAGUUCAUGGAGAGGAUGAACAGUCAAUUUACCAGGACCCCUCUUUCCCCUACCUCGAAGCCAAGGAAGGGAGUGAGCACAUAGUCUACCAAGCUUUUGAAAUCGUGGUAGCCGAUCAACAUGAAGAAGGCAAUCCACUCCCCCAGCCUUUCCUCUCAAAUGCUUCAAUCAUGAUGGCAAAGGAGAUAACGCGCCAAGGCUUUAGGCCAGGCAAGGGACUCGGAAGCUCCCUACAAGGCAUAACUGAGCCGGUCUCUUUGCCUACCGCAGAAAAGAUCUUUGGGUUGGGUUUUCAUCCAACAUUAGAAGAUAUCACCUGGGCCAAUCGCAGAAAGCGUCACGGAGGGCCUUGCCACGACCCCUACCCCACUUGUACAAACCAUUUGUAAAACCAAAGUACAAUGAGCAAGAGGAAGAAGAAACCUUCACAGCAUAAGAGAUUGAUGAAAUAUGUGGAGCCAUGAGGGAGUUAUUGUAUGAAGCCAACAUAGUCCAGAUGGGAGAAGGCUUGAGCACCGCCGAAGUGCUCUAUAUGGGACCGGAUGCCAAGCUGCAAAACUGGAAGGCCACGCCUUUCCCAGUCAAGCGGGAGGCCCGAUAGUCCCUCUUUGCUACCUUCCUUUGCAUCACGAGCUAUUUCAGGGUGUAGCUCGGUUAUUUUUCGUUAGCACCUUGUCCUUUAAAGUCCCAAUAAUGCGGCUUUAAAUAAAAUGACAUGCUCGCGGACUUCAUGCCACGACCCAAACAUGUUGCACAUCUGUGACAUAAUGAACCAAGAACUGAAAUACGAUAAAGGAGAGGCUUUUAGGGAAAUCAACCGAGAGUUGGAACACUUAGAAAACAAACCUAAGCCAAGCUUAAACGAUACUGAACUAGUUAACUGGGGUAAUCCUGAUGAAAUCAAAGAAACUAAAAUAAGCAUCCAUGUGAAUAAAGAAAUAUGGGAUUCAUUGGUUCAACUCCUUUUAGAAUUCAAAGAUGUAUUUGCGUGGACUUACGAUGACAUGCCCGGUUUGAGUAUGGAUCUGGUGGUUCAUAAGUUGCCCACAUUCCCUGAAUGCCCUCCGGUCCAACAAAAACAAAGAAAGUUCAAGCUUGAUGUCAGCGAUAAAAUCAAAGAGGAGAUCACAAAACAGCUAGAGGCAGGGGUAAUUCGAGUGGUUCGGUACACCACAUGGCUGGACAAUGUGGUCCCGGUAUCGAAGAAGGAUGGAAAGACUCGAGUGUGUGUGGAUUACAGAGAUUUAAACAAGGCGAGUCCCAAGGAUAACUUCCCUCUAGCCAACAUCCACAUCCUUGUUGAUAACUGUGCCAAGCACGAGAUUCAGUCCUUUGUAGACUACUAUGUAGGAUAUCACCAAGUGUUGAUGGAAGGGAAAGAUGCAGCAAAAACCACCUUUACCAUACCUUGGGGAACCUAUUGUUACAGAGUUAUGCCUUUUGGAUUGAAGAAUGCCGGGAUAACAUAGAUGAGGGCCAUGACCACCAUCUUCCACGACAUGAUGCAUCGAAAAAUAGAGGUAUAUGUGGAUGAUGUGAUUAUCAAAUCCAAGACUCAGGAUGAUCAUGUAAAGGAUUUAAGGAAGUUCUUCGAAAGGCUUUGCAAGUAGGACUUAAAGUUGAAUCCAGCCAAGUGUGCAUUUGGGGUCCCACCAGGCAAACUUUUGGGGUUCAUUGUCAGCCGAAGAGGUAUCGAGUUGGAUUCGACCAAGAUAAAAUUCAUUCGAGAUAUGCCUCCGCCAAGGAUCAAAAAGGAUGUAAUGAGUCUAUUUUGAAGACUGAAUUACAUCAGCCGAUUCAUUGCCCAGUUGACUUCCACAUGCGAGCCCAUAUUCAAGCUACUGAAAAAGGAUGCAUAAAUUAAAUGGACUGUUGACUGUCAAGAAGUUUUUGACAGAAUCAAACAAUAUUUGUCCAAUCCACCAGUUUUGGUUCCACCAGAACCAGGAAGGCCACUAUUUCUCUACCUAACAGUCUUGGAAGGCUCUUAUGGUUGUAUUCUCGGGCAGAAUGAAGCCACGGGAAAGAAAUAUCUAGCCAUUUAUUAUCUGAGCAAAAAUAUUACCAGUUACGAGGCCAAGUACACACGGUUAGAAAGAACUUGCUGCGCCUUGACGUGGGUGGCUCAGAAGUUAAGGCAUUAUCUACAAGCCCAAGAAACUUACCUCAUAACCAGGAUGGAUCCACUAAGGUACAUAUUCCAAAAAUCGAUGCCCACAGGGCGACUGGCCAAAUGGAAAAUCUUACUCACCGAGUUCGACAUAGUUUAUGUCACUCGCACUGCAGUGAAGGCUCAAGCAUUGGCGGAUCAUCUGGCUGAGAAUCCUGUUGAUGAUGAGUAUCAGCCUUUAAACACCUACUUCCCUAAUAAAGAAGUGAAUUCAUUGGAAGUAACAACUGAAGACAUCCCCAUAUGGAAAAUGUUCUUCGACGGAGCAGUAAACUCAAAAGGUGUAGGGAUUGGGGCAAUUUUAAUCUCACCGCAGGUCAGCACUAUCCAGCUACAGCCAGGCUCCGGUUCUUCUAUACCAAUUAAUACAGCUUAAUAUGAGGCUUGCAUAAUGGGCAUGAACAUGGCCAUUAACCAAGAUGUUGAGGAACUAUUAAUCAUGGGAAAUUAUGAUCUGAUCAUACGACUGGCUCAAGGAGUGGGAGACAAGAGACGUUAAGCUUAUCCCAUAUAGACAGCAUGUGGAAGACCUCAGCAAACAGUUCAGGUCAAUAAAAUUCAGGUACAUUCCCCGUUGCCACAACGAGUUAGCAGACACACUUGCAACCUUGGACUCUAUGUUACCUUACCCGGGAAACGCUUAUGUUGAUCCUUUACAAAUCCAAAUCAAAGAAAGCCAUGGGUAUUGUAAUGCGACUGAAGCACAGUCCAGCAUGCAACCCUGGUAUUAUGACAUCAAGAGAUUCAUAAAAAUAUAGGAGUAUCCCGAGUAAGCCACCGGGGAACAAAAGAAAACCAUCCGACGGCAUGCAAGCAAUUUUUUCUUGAGCGGUGACACUUUGUAUAAAAGGACUCCAGAUCUUAAUUUGUUGAGAUGUGUGGACACCAAGGAAGCCAGGAGAAUUAUGAAUGAAGUACAUGCGGGCAUGUGUGGGGCCCAUAUGAACGGCUAUGUGCUGGCAAAGAAGAUACUCCGAGCUAGCUAUUACUAGAUGACCAUGGAGAAAGAUUGCUUCAGCUUCGUUAAAAAAUGUCAUCAAUGCCAGGUGCAUGGUGAUUUGUUUCAUGCACCACCAAACGAAUUGCAUCCUAUGUCAGCACCCUGGCCAUUUGCCGCCUGGGGCAUGGAUGUCAUUGGGCCGAUUGAGCCAAAAGCCUCAAAUGGACACAGAUUCAUAUUGGUCGCUAUUGAUUACUUCACAAAAUGGGUUUUCAGCUUCGUUAAAAAAUGUCAUCAAUGCCAGGUGCAUGGUGAUUUGUUUCAUGCACCACCAAACGAAUUGCAUCCUAUGUCAGCACCCUGGCCAUUUGCCGCCUGGGGCAUGGAUGUCAUUGGGCCGAUUGAGCCAACAGCCUCAAAUGGACACAUAUUAUUGGUCUCCAUUGAUUACUUUAAAAAAUGGGUUGAGGCCAUCACCCUCAAAUCUGUUACCAAGAAGGCGGUGGUGGAUUUUGUGCAUUCCAACAUCAUUUGACAUUUUGGGAUUCCUGCUACCAUCAUUACAGACAACGCAUCUAAUCUAAAUAGUUGGCUGAUGGGAGAGAUAUGUUAACAAUUCAAGAUAACACAUAGAAAUUCCACUCCUUACCGACCCAAAGCUAAUGGUGUCAUCGAUGCAGCUAAUAAGAACAUCAAGAAGAUCUUGAGGAAAAUAAUUCAAAGCUCGAGGCAAUAGCAUGAAAAGUUGCCUUUUGCAUUGAUGGGAUAUCGUACCACACUACCUACAUCGGUAGGAGCAACCCCGUAUUUUUUGGUCUAUGGAACUAAGGUUGUCAAACCCGCCGAGGUAGAAAUACCUUCGCUUCGAGUGAUUGUCAAAGCAGAAAUUGAAGAUAGUGAAUGGGUUAAAACUCGUUUGGAGCAACUGGCAUUAAUUGAUGAAAAACGAUUGCAGUGUGCCACAUGCAGUUAUAUAAACAAAGAAUGGCUCGCGCUUACAACAAGAAAGUACGCCCUAGGAAUUUUGAAGUCGGGCAGCUGGUAUUGAGGCAGAUACUUCCUCAUCAUCAAUAAGCCAAAGGAAAAUUCGCUCCAAACUGGAAAGGGCCAUGCAUUAUUAGAAAGAUAUUACCUAAAGGAGCAUUGUACCUGGGUGACAUUGAAGGAGACGAGCCCGAGGUAGCGGUAAAUGCAGAUGCAGUAAAAAGGUAUUACGUUUAAACUCCCAGCAGCAAUGACCCCGAUUGACUGAAAUGACGAAGGCUUUUCAUUCCCGCUACCAUAAACAGUAUCAGUCCCUCGAAAACCCUUUGAUCCAGUUGCGAUUCUUUGAUCACCCUCUUUGGAACCCGAAAAUGCUGUUAAAAAUAAGAAAAAAAGAGAGAAUACAAACAAAUUAGUUCAGGAAAAUUUUCUGAACUACAUCUGACUUGAUUCCGAAAGGAUACGUAGGCAGCCUCUCCUUGAGGUUCAGUCAUAUCAAAACAAAAACCCCAUUUACCCAAGAAACCAAACUGGGGCAGAAAUGUAUAUGUUCGGUCGCAAAUCCGUCCCAAUGGUUCCAAAGUUGUAGAUUCUCGUCCAACUUCCUUUAUUUAAAAAUCCUAGUCCAAAUUCGUCCGAUCAGUUGACCAACACGAGCACAUCAAUGGUAACUUUGUUGGGAUUCGGAACAACUUAAAUUUUUGAGAGAAAUAAAAUGAGAGAGUCUUAUCGGUGAAAACCUCCAGGAACCAUAAGGCGACGGCGAGUAGAGAAAAACAAAGUAGGAGAGUCCGUUUAGCGAAAACUUGCAAAGAGCGCUAUCGGACGAUGGGAGAAGAGAAAUGAGAAAGGCCGAUUGCUGAAAACCCGAAAAGGGUGCCGUCGGCCAAAAAAAGGAAAUAUUGCUGCUCAAGUCUAAAUAAGUUUCUUUGAUUUUGAAUGAGUUGAAAUCAGAAAGCAGAAAUGGAUCUGGGCCGGGUAUUCAGUCCGAGAAGCAUGUCGUUGCCAUUUAAAGCUGGCUCACAUUUCCAGAUAAGUCUCCUUUCUUCCCUCAAAAGGGAACAUACCUCUCUAAAAUCCAUGUUUCAUUUAUUUCCACUUUAACUUUGAUGUCCUGACCAUUCCAUAAGAAAGGUAGCAGAGAUGGUCUCACGGGUUUCUACUGGAAAGAACUGAAGGAAUGCUCGACAUUGUCAAGCGCGUUUAGCCCAUCCUGGCUGAUCAUGACAGCUAACGUUUCAAAAUCAGGGAAAUAAAAAAAAAGAAAAUUCAAAAUUAAAAGAACCACGAGGGUGAAGCAAAAUCGGAGGUUAUAAGCCAAGCAGAAUAAUGGUUCUUAUCAAAGGUCCCAAAAGCAAACCAUGAAAUCAAAAUCGGGACAAAACUCAUAACCAAAAGCCUGGAAAGAAAAAAUCAACCGGAAAAUGAGGACCCCCCGGCCAACCUACGAAGCAAAGAUCGGAAGUCAAGGGUUUGCCCUUUGACAGAAAGGAAGCUGAAAUCAAGCAUAACAAGGCCGCAAACCCAAUCACUGUUCAAACGAAUAGUUUGUUUUAUUUCUGAACUGAAAUAGACGCAUGUGUAAUAUAGAAAAACAAAAGGAACAUGGGGUAAACACUACCAAAGGAAUGGAGGUAAGACAAAGAAUGGUGUUGCAGCAAUAACAAAAGGGAAUGUUUCUUUUCAUUUCUUCAUGCAAACUGGUAAAUAAGCAUGAUAGCAUGGGAUUCCAAUCCUUAGCCUCCCCUUGUGCAACUUGUGGAUUUCCUCGGAACGACCCAAGGAUUGUAUUCCACCCCCUCCAGCAUAGACCAAGAAGUCUCCUUCCUUCACUCCCCGGCAUAACCCGUGAAGUUCCUCUUCACAUCCUCAGCAUAACCUGAAGAUUCCUUUCCUACACUUUCUACUCCCCAGCGUAGUCUAAAAGUUAACGCUACCCUGUCCUUAACAUAACCUAAGGGAUUUUCCUUUCCCCUCUACCCCCAGCAUAGUCAAAAGAAUAUCUCUGGUCGUUCACUUCCUAAUAGAUCCUCCUAGCAUAACCGAGGAAUUCUCUUUCAGUCCCGGCAUAACCUGUGGAUUUCCCUGGCAUAACCCAGGAAUUUUCAAUCAUCCCGGCAUAACCCGCGGAUUCUCCUGGCAUAACCCAGGAAUUUUCAUUCAUCCCAGCAUAACCCGCGGAUUUUCAUUCCAACCCCUCCGGCAUAGACCAACAAGUCUCCUUCCUUCACUCCCCGGUAUAACCCGGGAAGUUCCUCUUUACAUCCCCAACAUAACCUGAGGACCCCUUUUCUCCCGCUUUCUACUCCCCAGCAUAGCCUAAGAAUUAACUCUCCCCUAUCCUUAACAUAACCUAAGGGUUGUUCAUUUCCUCCUCUAUCCCCAGCAUUUUCAGAAGGAUCUGUGCGGUCCUUCACUUCCUUGUAACUCCCCUAGCAUAACCCGGGAAUUUUCUUUCAAAUCCUGGCAUAACCCGCGGAUUUCCCUAGCAUAACCUAGGAAUUCUCUUUCCAUCCAGGCAUAACUUGUGGAUCUCCCUAGCAUAACCUAGGAAAUUUACUUCAAUCCCGGCAUAACCUGUGGAUCCCCUGGCAUAACCCAGGAAUUUCUUCAUAACCCAUGAUUCUCUUUCCAUCCCCAGCAGGGACCUUUUAUUCCUAUCCCGGCAUAUCCCCCAGCAUGGACUUUUUCAUUUCUAUCACGGCUUAAACCGUGAAUCCUCCUCCUAUCCCCAGCAAGGACCCUUUCUCUUUACCAGCAUAAUAUGGCGAUAUUUCCAAAGGAUACACAAUCCCGAUUUUUCUUGUUUUCAAUAAUAGCUUAGAUUUGUGUUGCAAAUAACUCACGAAAUCUUCCCACUGAAAAAUGGGGCAGAAAAUUUCGUUCGUUUGUUUGUGUAGGUGCCCGAGCAGGUUUUACCUCAAGGCACAAGAUUCAAGAUAACCGAAAGAGUGAGUCUCAAUCCAGAAUAAAGGAAAUGAAGAAAAGAACAAAAAGAAGAGAAUUCAAAAUGAUGAAGCGAACAGAGACGCAGACUGCUCUAAAUUUGAAUGAAGUCCUAAACUCUGCAAGUCCCACUUUGUUUCUAAAACUGAAGACUAAACCAGCGGUUGCAGCUAAUGGGCAUCAAGACUCAGAUCGAGGUCUACAUCAAAAUCAGCUAAGAUUCAAGAUCGAGAUCCAAGAGAUUUAUGUAUAUGAAUCUUGUAUACCGUAGUUGACAGGCCUAGCCAGUUUAGCUUUAUUUUUUUUGUGUAAUAAAGAGUCGGUAAGCGGUAGGAUCAACAAUAGUGAAAUCAUAGCCUAUGGUAGUCCAAGCUACCAAAACUUCCAGAACUACACUGACCUAUUUCCUUUAUCGCCAAGGAUAUGUAGGCAACAUUUGAAGCAAGGUUUGGUCAGGAGUUUUUCAAUUCUUCACAUGGAGUAUUCAGUAGUACGAAAAUCGCUCAUGUUUGCUCACUUAUCUUUGCACGAAAACUCUUCCUGUUUCCGUGCAAAGAGGGGUAGCUAUGAGCAUAUGAUUUUUUCCCUGUUAAGACGACUCCUACAAGACUCUCAGGUUUAGGAUUUUUCCUUAUUAAUAUUUAUUUUUAGGAUUUAAUUGUGCGUGUUAGUGUGUUUUAAGUAAUACAUGCAUAAAUUCAUAAAAUAUACAAAUUGCAUAAGUACUUAGGAUUUAAUUUCAUAUUUCUGCUAGUUUAAUUGGUGAUUAGGGUUAUUUUUGCAGAUACAAAAAUAAAAAAUUUAAUUAGUAUUUCUGGCAUUUUAAUUGUGUUGCAGUUUUGUGUGUUUUUAAUUUGUUACAAUUUAUUUUUGUGAUUGCAUAAAUAAGUAGUUAUUAAGUUGAUUUAAGUCAAUUAGGAGUUUUUUUAAAUUUAAUUAGGAAUUAUAUUAAAUAAAAAAAAGAAAGAAGAGAAAAGAAAACAAUAAAAACAAUAUAUGUAUAAUAAUAGACCACCUAGGCUGGCCACAAUUGGGCUAGACCUGGGUGGCUCAAAUCCUUUUACCCUGUAAAAACACCCAUUCCCAACCCAAAAAUGAGUCCCCGACCCAGUCCACACACAAUCCCCAAAAACGUCACCGCUUUGGGGGCCACUCAUCUCAAUCGUUGAUCAACAGGCAAUCCAACGGCCCUGAAACCCUGCCCAAGAUCACGUAUAUAUGUCCGAACGUCUCUAUAGAUUCAGAGAGUAACCCUUCUACUUCCUCGUACAAGUAUCACCGUUGUAACACCAACCCUUCACCGUCCUGAGACUGAUGUUGACCACCCAUCAACCACCAUAUCGCCGCCGAUGGAAAUCGCCUCACGGCGGCGGCCGGUCACUAAACUGCCUCAAAUUUACACCACCGGACCACCUUGUCCCCCUCUUUCCCUUCCCGUGGUUGUCUUCCUUCGAACAAGUCCCAGUCAUCUCGAAUAUUCAAAAGAAGACUCGCCGGAACCACCGUCUCCGUCGAACCAACCCCAAACCAACCCAGAACUACACCAUCGAACCACCUCCCCUCCCUCUUUCUAAUCAUCCAAACCGUGUCCUUUAAAUCCAAAUGAAACUGCUCGAAUAUUGAAUCAAAGUUAGCCCUAAGCCCUAAAACCCACCAGAACCAGUUCAAAUUAGUCUCCGAGACAAGUGAGGCUUGCUUAGUUGGUAAUGCACCUCCACAUACGACCGUUAGGUCGUGGGUUCGAGUCACCAGGGAGGGAAAGUGUGGAAGCACUAUAGAUCCUCCUAAUUUGGGAGGGGCUUAAAAAAAUAGGUCUAGGUUUCCAAAGCCUCCAAUAGCCUCAAUUGCCCAACUUCUAUAGACAAUGUCAUAGUCUAGGUGCAUCAAAGUUUCCUAAGGAUCUCAAGGAUCCCGGGCAGUGCUUACACCUGGACUUGGUAACCGAAUUGAACAAGUACAAUAUGGAAGAUAAAAAAAAUUAGUCUCUGAUGACCCUCUUCUGUCUCUCUCCCCAACCCUACCACCCAUAACCCUCAAACCCAGCUAACUACAAAGCAAAACCAAAUCUGGGACCUUACUUGGUCUUAGAAUCACAAAGCUCCCCCUCUGAACCCUUUUUCCCUCUUCAACAUUCAAGGAAAAAGGCCUUAGAAAUCAAAGACCUCCCAAAAAGGGGUCGGAGAAUUGUUGGAAUUGGAAAAGUGUCAAAUUCGGGUUGCAUGCACAAAAAAGCUAAGUGUUCUGUCUUUAGUGCUUAUAUUUUGUAUAUGUUUCUUGUUUAAUUGCUGUUUUGUUGAAAAUUUUACUUGUUUUAUAUGAUCUCAUUCUGAAUUAUGUUAAGUAGUCAUCUUUGCUUGCUAUAUUCUCUGAAUGGUUUGAUAUCAUGCUCAUCCUUGCCUCUUGACUCUUCAGUUAUUUCACCUCUAAAAUUUUGAGUGGUGUGUUGAUCUUUGUCUCUUGACUUUUUACUUGUUUCACCUCUGAAAUUGAGAUUCUGAAUGGUUUUAUUAAAUGCUUAUCUUUUGGAUCCUAUUGGUAUUACAUCAUGAUUCUGAGUAGUUGUCUUCUUUUUAAGAGUUUCAUACCCGUCAUAGUUUCUUCUAGUAAUGUUGAUCUUCAGUAUUUGCACAUGCUAGGCUAAUUUGUUUUUCUAAAUAUUUUAAUUACUGAUAUUAACCUUUAAUCUCUUGGUUUUUAUUCAUGUAUAUCCUGAGUAUUUAAUCUCUAAGUUUUUUACUAAGUGUUGUAGUUUGGCCAUUGUUCCUCCAUAGUCGAUUAGGUUUUCUUUUCUGAUUGUUUUGGUUCAUCUUGACAUAUUCAUGAAUAUUCAUAUAAUCCUGAAGUUGUGAUAAUUGUUUGCUUGAAUCCGUGAGGUGAAUUGU